CAGUCGCCGCGGGAAUACAGAGGGUGCGAGCGUUAAUCGGAUUUACUGGGCGUAAGGCGUGCGUAGGCGGCUUCUUAAGUCGGAUGUGAAAUCCCUGAGCUUAACUUAGGAAUUGCAUUCGAUACUGGGAAGCUAGAGUAUGGGAGAGGAUGGUAGAAUUCCAGGUGUAGCGGUGAAAUGCGUAGAGAUCUGGAGGAAUACCGAUGGCGAAGGCAGCCAUCUGGCCUAAUACUGACGCUGAGGUACGAAAGCAUGGGGAGCAAACAGGAUUAGAUACCCCAGUAGUCCCUGUCUCUUAUAC
rnacentral:rRNA from 1 species